rnacentral:rRNA from 1 species
UGACACUGAACAUUGAGCCUUGAUGUGUAGGAUAGGUGGGAGGCUUUGAAGUGUGGACGCCAGUCUGCAUGGAGCCGACCUUGAAAUACCACCCUUUAAUGUUUGAUGUUCUAACGUGGACCCGUAAUCCGGGUUGCGGACAGUGUCUGGUGGGUAGUUUGACUGGGGCGGUCUCCUCCUAAAGAGUAACGGAGGAGCACGAA